GCCGCCCCCGCCCGACGGGGNGCAGCAGGCGCGAAACCUCCGCAAUGNNAGAAAUCGCGACGGGGGGACCCCAAGUGCCACUCUUAACGGGAUGGCUUUUCUUAAGUGUAAAAAGCUUUUGGAAUAAGAGCUGGGCAAGACCGGUGCCAGCCGCCGCGGUAACACCGGCAGCUCUAGUGGUGGCCANUUUUAUUGGGCCUAAAGCGUUCGUAGCCGGUUUNNUAAGUCUCUGGUGAAAUCCCGUAGCUUAACUNUGGGAAUUGCUGGAGAUACUANUAGACUUGAGGUCGGGAGAGGUUAGCGGUACUCCCAGGGUAGGGGUGAAAUCCUGUAAUCCUGGGAGGACCACCUGUGGCGAAGGCGUCUAACUGGAACGAACCUGACGGUGAGGGACGAAAGCCAGGGGCGCGAACCGGAUUAGAUACCCGGGUAGUCCUAGCCGUAAACGAUGCGGACUUGGUGUUAGGAUGGCUCGAGCCGCUCCAGUGCCGAAGGGAAGCUGUUAAGUCC
rnacentral:rRNA from 1 species